rnacentral:rRNA from 1 species
UACGUAGGAGGCAAGCGUUGUCCGGAAUUACUGGGCGUAAAGCGCGUGUAGGUGGCGGGACAAGUCGGCUGUGAAAGCGCCUGGCUUAACCGGGCGAGGUCGGCGGAAACUGUUCGACUCGAGGACGGUAGAGGGGGGUGGAAUUCCCGGUGUAGUGGUGAAAUGCGUAGAGAUCGGGAGGAACACCUGUGGCGAAGGCGGCCCCCUGGGCCGGCCCUGACACUGAGACGCGAAGGCGUGGGGAGCGAACGGG